rnacentral:snRNA from 1 species
GGGUGAUCCGACUGAGACAUCUGUCACCCCAUUGAUCGCCAGGGCUGAUCUGACUGACCUGGCUGGCUAGGCAGGUGUCCCCUGUUUCAUGUGCGUCCCUCCCUAAGCUGCACGCUUGGUGGAAGAAGACUAUCCCAGGUAGACAGAGUGUACCAUUCUUUGAUAAAGGCUUGAUGAUAGCUGCGCUCCCUGUAUAGAUAGAACCUCCCUGAUAGAAUCUCCCCCUCUAAUGCAGGAAUCUCAGCUAAAUAAUUUCAGCUACAUAGUUUGUGAGA